AAUUAAUUUCGUGAUUUAUAGUAAAAUAAGCUACUAUAUACUUUUAAAAUAUGUAUUAUUCUACAGGAAAUCUUAUAAGCUAGUUUAUUAGUUUAUUAAAGAAAGAAAGAUAGAGCUGAAUUCUUUUGUUUAAAUGCAAUAAUAAUUUCAAAGUUUUUGUGUUAAUUUUAAUCUACAAAGGCAAUUAAUUGAAGACAUUCAUAUAUCAUGAUGUUCCUAGCUUAUGAAUUUGAACAUUACAUACACGAUAUCAUACGUCAUAAUAUGUAACUAGACUCUCAUUUAUUAUUUUACCUUAGUUCCAUUUUAUUUUCAUCAUGUUGCUUUUUUUCUAUCUGAAUAGUAAGUUGUUUUCUAGUACACAAAAUCUUUUUAAAAUUUUUUAUUUUUGAACUUGUUCUGUAAUUAUUUUAAAACUGUUCGUUACAAUAUUUGUGUUGGAGUUAUUGCCCUUUUCAAUAAUCUAUUUUAGCUAACUUAUCUAAUACAAUGUAUAUAAAGUUAAUAACUUCAAUUAUGUUUACAAAGUAUAUUGUAAUUAUACAGUAGAUCAUUGCAGUUUGAUCACAAAAGGGACCACAAAAUAUUGUUAAAGUUGAUGAAACUUUUAUAUGUAUAAAGAAAGAAUUCAAAAUUCAUGUCAAAAUUGUUUGAUGUUUUUUCUUUAGUUUUGAACCUGUAUCUUUUUUUUAUGUAAAGGUAAUUCUACUUCUCACACUAAAAAACUACCGGUUGAUUCCAUUUUUGAGGCUGUUCCAUUAAUGCAUAUAAUGUCCCUAGGGAAAGGGAAAUUGGUUAUUUGUGGUUAAUUAGAAACCUCUCACUACAUACACACAUUUUAAUUACUUGAAUGAGUGGUAUCCCUAUUUAGAAUGUGCCUUGAGGGUUUUAUAUGUUUUAAUGGUAUACACCAUAGUUUCUUACUUCCUUGUACAAUGUAGAUAGCAUGUUUACUUCAAAAAGGGAUUAUAUGAAUUAUCUCCCCUUAUUCUGGAGAGUUAUUUCCCUUUGAAAUUCUGUAUAGUUAUAUUUGUUACUUUGUUUAGUCAUUUGUGUGUUUAAACCAUAGAUAUUUUAUUAGUUGACAUGUAAAACAUGUUUUAGAUGAAGAUUUUACACACCAAAUGCAUUUGUUACAGUAUAAUACAUGCUAACAUGUCAAUUCCUAGAUGUGUUUCAUGCAAUAUUUAAAUAAAUUUGUUGUCAACAA
rnacentral:lncRNA from 1 species